rnacentral:rRNA from 1 species
GAUGAACGCUGGCGGCGUGCCUAAUACAUGCAAGUCGAGCGAACAGACGAGGAGCUUGCUCCUCUGACGUUAGCGGCGGACGGGUGAGUAACACGUGGAUAACCUCCCUAUAAGACUGGGAUAACUUCGGGAAACCGGAGCGAAUACCGGAGAAUAUAUUGAACCGCAUGGUUCAAUAGUGAAAGACGGUUUUGCUGUCACUUAUAGAUGGAUCCGCGCCGCAUUAGCUAGUUGGUAUGGUAACGGCUUACCAAGGCAACGAUGCGUAGCCGACCUGAGAGGGUGAUCGGCCACCAUGGAACUGAGACACGGUCCAGACUCCUACGGGAGGCAGCAGUAGGGAAUCUUCCGCAAUGGGCGAAAGCCUGACGGAGCAACGCCGCGUGAGUGAUGAAGGUCUUCGGAUCGUAAAACUCUGUUAUUAGGGAAGAACAAAUGUGUAAGUAACUAUGCACGUCUUGACGGUACCUAAUCAGAAAGCCACGGCUAACUACGUG